rnacentral:lncRNA from 1 species
ACGGGACACCUGCAUCUGCCAACAAGACUGGAAGCAGAAAGGGACAGAGACGGCGAAGUUUGACGGUCUGGAAAGCAGAGACCAGCAGGGCUGACUGCUUGGGAGCACCAAAUAUCCGGACAGCGCCUCUCGGGAGGUCCGAGAAGAGAACCGCGAUCUGUUUCAGCACCGGGGCUCAGGACAGUUCCCAGCGGGCUCCGUUUCGUCUCCAGAACCCUGGACAGCUCCUCCAGACUUCGGUGAGAAACCUUGUGCCAAGCAUUUUACAUACAUCAUAUCAUGCCAUCUUCAACCCUAGGACAUGGGUGUUACUGUGCCCAUGUGACAUUUGGGGAACCCAAGGCCCUGAGAAAGGCAGAAAAAUAACCCACGCAGGGACUCUCAGCCCACAAGUGAAGCUAACCGGGAAUGGAAAACAGGGAGGCAGCACAGAGGCAGGAAACUCAGGUGUCAUAGCUUGGCUCAGCCUCAGGGCUUUUGCCUCUGCUGUUCCUGCAGCUUGGAAUGCACUCCCUCCACCUCCAACCAGAGCUCCCCACAACUGACCCUGCCUUCUUCUGCAAGCUCCAUUUCAUCAAGGGAAACGAUCCUUAUUGCCUCACCAUUUCCCACGUGAAGUCUGUAUUGACAUUCUCAUAGACCUGGGAUAUUGUGUCUGCAGCACAUAGUCCAAUUAUUUUCAUGUUAUCUACUGACAGGUCUAUUUGUCUCCCUGUUACACUGUGAGCUCCGUGAGGGCAGAAACAAUGUUAGUAUUUUCACUGCUGUGUCCCCAGCGCCUGGUCCGGGGCCCGGCACACAGCAGGCAUAUAAUAAGCAUGUGUUGAAUCAAUAAAGGCAUCAAAGAAUAAACCAAUACAUCAAUCAAUAAA